rnacentral:rRNA from 1 species
UGUUCGGUUAAGUCCGCUAACGAGCGCAACCCUCGCUGUGUGUUAUAUGUGUCACACAGGACUGCUGGUAUUAAGCCGGAGGAAGGUGGGACGACGUCAAGUCAGCAUGACCUUUAUAUCCAGGGCUACACACACGCUACAAUGGUCAGUACAAUGGGUUGCCAAGCCGCGAGGCGGAGCCAAUCCUAAAAAGCUGGCCUCAGUUCAGAUUGCAGUUUGAAACUCGACUGCAUGAAGUCGGAGUUGCUAGUAAACGCAGGUCAGCUAUACUGCGCUGAAUACGUUCCCGGGCUU